rnacentral:rRNA from 1 species
CCUACGGGAGGCAGCAGUGAGGAAUAUUGGUCAAUGGACGAGAGUCUGAACCAGCCAAGUAGCGUGAAGGAUGACUGCCCUAUGGGUUGUAAACUUCUUUUAUAAAGGAAUAAAACGAGGCACGUGUGCCUUUUUGCAUGUACUUUAUGAAUAAGGAUCGGCUAACUCCGUGCCAGAAGCCGCGGUAAUACGGAGGAUCCGCGCGUUAUCCGGAUUUAUUGGGUUUAAAGGGAGCGUAGAUGGGUUGUUAAGUCAGUUUUGAAAGUUUGCGGCUCAAACGUAAAAUUGCAAUUGUUACUGGCAGUCUUGAGUACAGUUGAGGUAGGCGGAAUUCGUGGUGUAGCGGUGAAAUGCUUAGAUAGCACGAAGAACCCCGAUUGCGAAGGCAGCUUACUAAGCUGUGACUGACAUUGAUGCUCGAAAGUGUGGGUAUCAAACAGGAUUAGAUACCCCAGUAGUC